GUAUCAUCGGGGACAGAUCAUCGGUUGGAAACCAGCUGCUAUUUUCUGGCUUUAGAUAUUUAUCAACUGUUCAUUAUAACAGCUUACCAUAGGUAGUUAAUGGCAAUAAUGAAAAUGAGCCCUGAGUGAAUACAAUUUCUAUUUUAAUUUCAACCUUUGUGCAUGUGAAGUGUGUUGUAACACUGCGCGAUUGAGGUCUCUGGUUUAGCUGGACAGAUGGCACAAUUUGGCAUUUUAUUAUCACAAGUUCUGAAUGAGGUAAAAAUGGCUUCAUGGAUUAGCGGUUUUCCAGAUGUCUGUAAUUUUCUCUGUUUUAAAAUGCUAAAAUUCAAGAAUUACGUCUGAAAAGUCAAGCCGCGUGCGGUUUCCAUUGUGUUUUAUGACACGUAUGUUUUUUGUUUUUUUUACGAACCUAAAAGAGUUCUUCAAAAAUUGUAUGUAUUAUUAUACAUUAAGAAAAAUUCUAGCACUUUUGAAAUCGAUAUUCCUAAUUAUUGUGAGGACAGAGGUGCUUUUUGUGAACUGCGGAAUCAAAUAUAUACUAUAUAAACAAGCUCCAAGCGUCGCUUCAGAAACAAUGCUGAGAUUUAAUUUAAGGCACAUUAAAACCUUACAAAAAAAAUGUUUUAUUAAAAACACUGAGCGUGUGAUGCACAUCUAGGUCAACCUAUACCUGUCAUUUAAUUCACUUUUAGCACUUAGGCAGACAUAAAGCAAAUUAUUGCGGCCAGAGAUUAGCAUUCCAUGCUACAAAUAUUCUCGAGGCAAACGACGUCGUACGUCCCAACAUUUCUAAUGGACGAUGAGGGACCCUUUCACUUUAGGGGUGUGGCCAGGGGCGACUGUUCUAAGAAAUUUUAGGUGACUUACUAAUAAAAAUGUAUACAACUAAGAAGAAGAACAAUGGAUCUUAUUUACACAGACUGAUUUCUAAACAAAUGUAUUGUAUUUUAAAGACACAUUACUGGGAGUAUUAUUGCUGUGGAGCUCUGUUAUACACUCAGACACAUUACUGGGAGUAUUAUUGCUGUGGAGCUCUGUUAUACACUCAGACAUUACUGGGAGUAUUAUUGCUGUGGAGCUCUGUUAUACACUCAGACACAUUACUGGGAGUAUUAUUGCUGUGGAGCUCUGUUAUACACUCAGACACACCAACAACACGGAGCUCCUAAAAAAGAGGGACAGAGGGAUUUGAUUCCAAAUAUAAGAAACGUUCCAUCCUAAGGUCCAAUCAAGGUUCAGAUGGCUCUCCAUGCACUUGGUAGUAGAUGGAGGCAGGGUAUUUACACUGUAAAGCGUUAAAAAUACCAAAAGGAAGAAAUAAGGAUUUUGUUGCUCUAAAAAGCUCACUAGAUAUUUAUUUCAUUUCUAUAAGUGCUUGAGAUUUACUAAUUCCAUAUCAACCUGUGACCUUACAUACAUGCGCUGCAUUAAUUCCAACCCUGUGUGUUACUCUCGAACCUGUACCACGAGCCCUUUAUAAUGGUUUGUUGAGGGCUAUGUGCGUAUGUGUAUAUACAUGUAUACUGCUUACUGGACUCUUAACACAUCCUUCAAAUCUCUUGCGCUAUUUUACUUGCUUUUGUCAGAGGCUCGUGCACAACCCUUGAGCGUUGAAAGGUUUAAAGUAACUUCUAGCGGACUUGCACAGGAAAUCCACGAUUGCACAAAAUGGCUGCCGCUUACAAUGGGAGAAUUGGCUUUUGUCGAAUUCAGUAUUGUAUAUUUCAUUUCUAUUUUACAAAGUAUUGGUACUGGAAAUAAAAAAAAAAUAAAAAAAUGAAAACAAAAACAUUAAAUAUUGGGUGCGAUUAUAUAUUUAAAAGAUUUAUUUUAUAUCUGUGUCUCAUUUAAAGUCAUUGUUUAAAUAGCGUCGAAAAG